UACGGAGGAUGCGAGCGUUAUCCGGAUUUAUUGGGUUUAAAGGGAGCGUAGGUGGACUGGUAAGUCAGUUGUGAAAGUUUGCGGCUCAACCGUAAAAUUGCAGUUGAUACUGUCAGUCUUGAGUACAGUAGAGGUGGGCGGAAUUCGUGGUGUAGCGGUGAAAUGCUUAGAUAUCACGAAGAACUCCGAUUGCGAAGGCAGCUCACUAGACUGCAACUGACACUGAGGCUCAGGUGCGAAAGCGUGGGGA
rnacentral:rRNA from 1 species